rnacentral:rRNA from 1 species
UACGGAGGGUGCGAGCGUUGUCCGGAAUCACUGGGCGUAAAGGGCGCGUAGGCGGCGCAGGAAGUCAACGGUGAAAGUUCGGGGCUCAACCCUGAAUCGGCCGUCGAUACUCCUGGGCUCGAGCACUGUAGAGGCAGAUGGAAUUCCGGGUGUAGCGGUGGAAUGCGUAGAGAUCCGGAAGAACACCGGUGGCGAAGGCGGUCUGCUGGGCAGUUGCUGACACUGAGGCGCGACAGCGUGGGGAGCGAACAGG